rnacentral:rRNA from 1 species
GCGUAGGCGGCCUACCAAGUCCGAUGUGAAAUCUCCCGGCUCAACUGGGAGGUGCAUUAGAAACUGGUAAGCUAGAGUGCAGCAGAGGAAAGUGGAAUUCCCGGUGUAGUGGUAAAAUGCGUAGAUAUCGGGAGGAACACUAGUGGCGAAGGCGGCUUUCUGGGCUGCAACUGACGCUGAGGUCCGAAGGCGUGGGUAGCAAACA